CAGCACUGCGCCGACGGCUCGGACGAGCGCGACUGCCCGGCCUGCCUGGGCCCCGACUGCGUGCCGGCCGACCCCGCCACCACCGAUUCGAACGCGAUCCAAACGAGUACGACGGAGGCGGGCAGUGAUGCGGGCGGAAAGGAGGAGGAGGAGGGAUGCGAGGGCGCGCAAUUCCGAUGCGGAGGCGGGGAGUGCGUGCCGCUGGCGUGGCGCUGCGACGGACGCGCCGACUGCCCCGACGGGUCCGACGAGGCCACGCACUGCCGCCACGCGAACGCGUCGGGCGCGUGCACGGCGGCGCAGUUCUCGUGCGGCGACGGGCGCUGCGUGGCG